UAAUACGGGGGGAGCAAGCGUUGUUCGGAUUUACUGGGCGUAAAGGGCGCGUAGGCGGCCUCCGCAAGUCAGUUGUGAAAUCUCCGAGCUUAACUCGGAAAGGUCAACUGAUACUGCGGGGCUAGAGUGCGGAAGGGGCAACUGGAAUUCUUGGUGUAGCGGUGAAAUGCGUAGAUAUCAAGAGGAACACCUGCGGCGAAGGCGGGUUGCUGGGCCGACACUGACGCUGAGGCGCGAAAGCUAGGGGAGCGAACGGGAUUAGAUACCCCGGUAGUCCUAGCCUUAAACGAUGAAUGC
rnacentral:rRNA from 1 species